AGCAGCCGCGGUAAUUCCAGCUCCAAUAGCGUAUAUUAAAGUUGUUGCAGUUAAAAGCUCGUAGUUGAAUUUCGGGAUCAAAGGAUCGGUCAUGCCUUGGUAUGUACUGGUUUUAUUGGUUCUCACCUUCUAAAGAACCAUAAUGUCAUUCAUUUGAUGUUAUGGGGAAUUAGGACUGUUACCUUGAAAAAUUAGAGUGUUUAAAGCAGGCUUACGCUUGAAUACAUUAGCAUGGAAUAAUGAAAUAGGACAUCAGAUUCUAUUUUGUUGGUUUCUAGGAUCGAUGUAAUGAUUAAUAGGGGUAGUUGGGGGCAUUAGUAUUCAAUUGUCAGAGGUGAAAUUCUUGGAUUUAUUGAAGACUAACUACUGCGAAAGCAUUUGCCAAGGAUGUUUUCAUUAAUCAAGAACGAAAGUUAGGGAUCGAAGACGAUCAGAUACCGUGUAGUCUUAACCAUAAACUAUGCCGACUAGGGAUCGGAUGAUGUUAAUUUUAUAAUUGACUCAUUCGGU
rnacentral:misc_RNA from 1 species